UACAGAGGGUGCAAGCGUUGUUCGGAAUUAUUGGGCGUAAAGCGCGUGUAGGCGGCUUUGCAAGUCGGGUGUGAAAGCCCUCAGCUCAACUGAGGAAGUGCGCCCGAAACUGCAGGGCUUGAGUGCCGGAGAGGGUGGCGGAAUUCCCCAAGUAGAGGUGAAAUUCGUAGAUAUCGUAAGGAAGACCAGUGGCGAAGGCGGGUCUCUGGACAGUUCCUGACGCUGAGACGCGAAAGCGUGGGGAGCGAACAGG
rnacentral:rRNA from 1 species